rnacentral:rRNA from 1 species
UACGAAGGGGGCUAGCGUUGCUCGGAAUCACUGGGCGUAAAGCGCACGUAGGCGGAUUGCUAAGUCAGGGGUGAAAUCCUGGAGCUCAACUCCAGAACUGCCUUUGAUACUGGCGAUCUCGAGUCCGGGAGAGGUGAGUGGAACUGCGAGUGUAGAGGUGAAAUUCGUAGAUAUUCGCAAGAACACCAGUGGCGAAGGCGGCUCACUGGCCCGGUACUGACGCUGAGGUGCGAAAGCUAGGGGAGCGAACAGG